AAAUUUCAGAUCAUAAUUCUGAUUUUAUGUUCAAAAUUCUAAAUUGCAGAGCCAAAUUCAGAAUUGAAGAUUCUCAUUUUAUUUUAAAGUGAAGUGUAAAAUGUAUCAUUAGAACUGAUUUUAUGUUCAAAAUUCCAAAUUGCAGCCAAAUUCUGAAUUGAAAAUCCUCAUAAUACAUUCUCAUGAAAUUCUACAAUCAAAUAGAAUUAAAUUCUGAUUUUCUUUUUGUUCUAAAUUCCAAUUUGAGAUGUCUGUCAAUUUGCAUUUUUACAUUCUGCAGUUCAUAGAUUUAUUGUUGUUUACUUUGUUUUUCCUGUGGGUGUGUCAGGGCAAUUUACAUAGCUAUAGCUCCAAAAAUGAUCAUAAAUUUACUAAGAGUAAUAUAGCUUACAGGUGCAGUGUUUACAUAAAUGUGUGUUGCUGUUGUAUGAAACUAGGACGUGCAGUACCUCUGGACUUUUCUGAGGAAUGUGUCCAUAGUUGUCUCCCCCGCCUGAAUGCCUGUUGCCGCUGAAUGGCACCAUUUGCUGCUUGGAGGUGCCCCACACGUGCCGAUUCGAUCUGGCGCAGCGCUUCCAGGCACGUGUAGAUAUUUGGAUGGGGUCUGCCCACCACCACAACAGCCAUGAGGGAUACGAGCUCCUGCUCAUAAAUGUCAGGGACAGGCAGGUCAGGCUCCUCCCGUGCCCAGUCUUUCAGCCUCGCCCGCAGCCUGUCUUCUGUUGCACAGGCAACCACAGGAGCACGAAUGUGAUCUCCUGGAAGAGAAAAAUUCAUGGUAUGGCAAGUAUUGUCCUAGUUCAGCUGCCCUUCCACAGUCCGAGCAACAACUGGGCAGUUGAUCAUCCAAUACUCCUUGCAUUUCUACAUGCUGGAGUACGCUGGAGGACGUACUUAUAUCCGCCCACAUGCAAGGAGUCUUUUCCUUUCCGAGUUUCGAUGAAUUGGCCAUCCAUCUUGCCACUUCAGAAUCUUUGCACCAAACGUCUGUGUUGCGUGUGCGUGCGGGCGAAGCGAACACGUGCAAAUUUUAUUUUGUAUGGUGUAAUGAUACAAGAAGCGUAAAGUGAGAAAUAAAUAUA